UAAUUACACUAUGUACACUGUAAUCGGGAGUUCCUUUUUGCUUUGGCAAUUUGGGCUUCCUCAUUGAACUCUGAAUUUCUUGACUUAAUUGCUUUGAGAAACAACUGGUAUUCGGAUAUAGUACUUUAGAAUUCGAACUUGUCCAGAUGAAUGGCUUCAAAAUUAUUUAAAGCAAUUGCUAACCUGAUGAACUUGUUUUGAUGGCGCACUGGGUAGUUUAGCUUGCGCAAAAAUAAGUAGCAAUUUUUUUUUAUACAUUUUCUAAACUAUCCAUCAACCUCCAAAUCCUAAUAAUUAAAUUGGAGGAAUAUUACACAGGCUCAAACCCCAACUUUCAGGAAGCUGCUGCAACAGCAGCGGUAUUCAAUCGGCAUAAGCUGUACGGGUUUUAGCUGAUGGUGCAAUUGGAGUUUUGUGAUUGUGCUUCACUUGAAACACUCUCUUAGAUUAUGUUCUUGAGUGUACUUUAGUCCAAUCUUUCAGGUUUUCCGUGUGAAAAUAGUAUACACUGUCCAUUUUUUGAGGCUAUAUUUUCUCAUUCAAAACACUUCUUGCAUGUAAUGGUUGUUAUAAAAUGUAAUGCAUCUCCACAGAUACCUGGAACUGACCAAUUUGCUAAAGUAAUCGAAUUUCUACGCCGGCACUGCACUGGGAUACCUUGUUAGUGUAUGUCAACAGCGCCUUCUCACAGAACGCAGAUGAAUUGGUGAUUGACCUAUUUAAUAAUUUUGGUUUUGAUGGUAAACUGGUGGUUAAUUAUGCCUGUUCUAUGGCAUGGGGCUAAGUCUUGAGACCAUGGGAUCUGCUGAGAGUCUGAGAUAAAAGCUGUCAGCUAUGUAAAAUAUACUCACUCAUUUGUUUCCUAAAAUUCUUCAUUAUGCAUAGUCCUUUCAGAACCAUCCUUUUUAAUAUUGCCUUUUCCAGCUUUAUCUCUGAAACAAGGGUUCUUCUGUAGCAGAUACUACUUUCACACAAGGAAGGCAAUAUUAUUGAUGGUAUUCAAAAUCAGCUUAUGUUAAUUGUUCAACUCAUUAUAGUUGGUUUGUAAUUCAAGCCAAAGGGUUUCUGUUUGUAAUUUUAUUUAAUAUUUAUCCAUUGCUAACUUAUCUUGGUUUCAGGAAAAGUUUUUAGCAAU